CGAGGAAUUUUGCGCAAUGGGCGAAAGCCUGGCGCAGCGACGCCGCGUGGAGGAAGACGGCCUUCGGGUUGUAAACUCCUGUCAGAGGUGAAGAACGCCCGCAAGGGCUUGACGGUAACCUCAGAGGAAGCCCCGGCUAACUACGUGCCAGCAGCCGCGGUAAUACGUAGGGGGCGAGCGUUGCUCGGAAUUACUGGGCGUAAAGGGAGUGCAGGCGGCCGGUUAAGUCGAAGAUGAAAUCCCGAGGCUCAACUUCGGAACGGUCUUCGAUACUGAUCGGCUUGAGGCUAAUUGAGGAGAGCGGAAUUCCCGGUGGAGCGGUGAAAUGCGUAGAUAUCGGGAGGAACACCAGAGGCGAAGGCGGCUCUCUAAACUAGUCCUGACGCUGAGGCUCGAAAGCUAGGGGAGCAAACGG
rnacentral:rRNA from 1 species